rnacentral:lncRNA from 1 species
GAUCACACAGCUAGGAAGAUGCAGAAACAAGAUUAGAGCCAAACCAGUCAGUCAACUGUUGGUCUUUUUCACGUUUUACUAAUACUCGUAUAACUAGUAAGUUUCCUGGCAGGUUCCAGUUGGAAAAACUCGAGGGUAACAUCAAAUUUAGCCCUUACAGGGUAAAAAAGAAUAGUCAACAGCAAAAAUCUCUAGUUGAUAUGAUAUUGGUAAUGUACUUCGCUCUUUAUUUUGACUGCAAGACAUCUACUCAAGAUAAUAUAGAAUAAUAUUGCUGUUCCCGGGAUUCAGAUAAAGACCUAAACAGUGCCCAUCAUUC